UGGGUUACCUCAGUCAGGAUGAUUGGA
rnacentral:misc_RNA from 1 species